UACAGAGGUCUCAAGCGUUGUUCGGAUUCAUUGGGCGUAAAGGGCGCGUAGGCGGUGAAGUAAGUCUGAUGUGAAAUCUAGGAGCUUAACUCCUAAACUGCACUGGAUACUGUUUUGCUUGAGGACUGGAGAGGAGAUUGGAAUUCACGGUGUAGCAGUGAAAUGCGUAGAUAUCGUGAGGAAGACCAGUGGCGAAGGCGGAUCUCUGGACAGUUCCUGACGCUGAGGCGCGAAGGCCAGGGGAGCAAAUGGG
rnacentral:rRNA from 1 species